rnacentral:lncRNA from 1 species
UUUCGAAAGGCCUAGGGUAAAAUACUUCUUCAAGAACACUUCUUUGAUUGAAUUUUCAAAUCGCUUUUUAUUUUCUUCAUUCCUGAGCACCCGAUAAGUACUUCUUAUAGACUAAUGUUCUAAAAUUAUGAAGAAAAAAGGAUGCAAAAAUAAUAAUAUAAACUUGUACAUCAAAACCAAAAUCGUGUACACAGAAAUUAGGGUUGUGGUCUUCAAGAUGGAUGAAUUAAUACGUACAGCGUCCUCUUGGUCUGGCGGACGCCGGGCGAUGGAUUGCCGGAUCGCCGGCAUGGCGGAUGCCGGAUGACGGAUUGCCGGAUCGCCGGCAUGACGGAGGCCUGACGGGAUGACGGCACACACGAUUCAGGAACGGAGGCGACCGAGCCGAGCAACGGUUGUGUGAACAGGGGAAGACGAAGUGAAGCUAUCGAUUGAUUCACACGUGGUAUGUUUGGGCGUGCGUGGCGUACUUCACGUAUCGUUUCAAAAUCAUGCUAAGGCCCUGUUUAGAUUGUAGUUUUCCUUUUAAAUAUACUUGUAAAAAAUACGGACGUUUCCUGGUCAUUUUGAUUUCCAGCUGAAAAUUGCU